rnacentral:rRNA from 1 species
GAUGAACGCUGGCGGCGUGCCUAAUACAUGCAAGUCGAGCGAACGGAUGAGGAGCUUGCUCCUCUGACGUUAGCGGCGGACGGGUGAGUAACACGUGGAUAACCUACCUAUAAGACUGGGAUAACUUCGGGAAACCGGAGCUAAUACCGGAUAAUAUUUUGAACCGCAUGAUUCAAUAGUGAAAGACGGUCUUGCUGUCACUUAUAGAUGGAUCCGCGCUGCAUUAGCUAGUUGGUAAGGUAACGGCUUACCAAGGCAACGAUGCAUAGCCGACCUGAGAGGGUGAUCGGCCACACUGGAACUGAGACACGGUCCAGACUCCUACGGGAGGCAGCAGUAGGGAAUCUUCCGCAAUGGGCGAAAGCCUGACGGAGCAACGCCGCGUGAGUGAUGAAGGUCUUCGGAUCGUAAAACUCUGUUAUUAGGGAAGAACAAAUGUGUAAGUAACUAUGCACAUCUUGACGGUACCUAAUCAGAAAGCCACGGCUAACUACGUG